AUUGAACGCUGGCGGCAGGCCUAACACAUGCAAGUCGAGGGGCAGCAUGAAAGGAACUUCGGUUCUUUUUGAUGGCGACCAGCGCACGGGUGCGUAACGCGUAUCGAACCUGCCUCAUACUCGGGGAUAGCCUUGCGAAAGUAAGAUUAAUACCCGGCGGUCUCGGAUGGCCGCAUGACUAUCCGAGUGAAGAUUUAUCGGUAUGAGAUGGCGAUGCGUCCCAUUAGCUAGUUGGUGAGGUAAUGGCUCACCAAGGCAUCGAUGGGUAGGGGUUCUGAGAGGAAGGUCCCCCACAUUGGAACUGAGACACGGUCCAA
rnacentral:rRNA from 1 species